GACGAACGCUGGCGGCGUGCUUAACACAUGCAAGUCGAACGUGAUUUUUGUGGAAAUUCUUUCGGGAAUGGAAAUGAAAUGAAAGUGGCGAACGGGUGAGUAACACGUGAGCAACCUACCUUACACAGGGGGAUAGCCGUCGGAAACGACGAUUAAUACCGCAUGAGACGACAGAAUCGCAUAAUAUAGGGGUCAAAGAUUUAUCGGUGUAAGAAGGGCUCGCGUCUGAUUAGCUAGUUGGAAGGGUAAAGGCCUCCCAAGGCGACGAUCAGUAGCCGGUCUGAGAGGAUGAGCGCCGACACUGGAAGUAAGACACAGUCCAAAAUCCUACGGGAGGCGGCAGUGGGGAAUAUUGCACAAUGGGGUGAAUCCUGAUGCAGCGACGCCGCGUGAGCGAAGAAGGUUUUCGAAUCGUAAAGCGCUGUUCUAUGAGCAGAUAUUGACGGUACCAUAGCAGGAAGCCCCGGCUAAAUACGUG
rnacentral:rRNA from 1 species